AGGCGUGUAGUUUUAGUCGGCAAAAUGUCGGUCUCCAAAAUCGAAGUUCUCAGUUCAAAUCUGAGUGCGCCUGCCA
rnacentral:tRNA from 1 species